GAUGAACGCUGGCGGCGUGCUUAACACAUGAAGUCGAACGGAAAGGCUCCUGCUUGCAGGGGUACUCGAGUGGCGAACGGGUGAGUAACACGUGGGUGAUCUGCCCUGCACUUCGGGAUAAGCCUGGGAAACUGGGUCUAAUACCGGAUAGGACGAUGGUUUGGAUGCCAUUGUGGAAAGUUUUUUCGGUGUGGGAUGAGCUCGCGGCCUAUCAGCUUGUUGGUGGGGUAAUGGCCUACCAAGGCGUCGACGGGUAGCCGGCCUGAGAGGGUGUACGGCCACAUUGGGACUGAGAUACGGCCCAGACUCCUACGGGAGGCAGCAGUGGGGAAUAUUGCACAAUGGGCGCAAGCCUGAUGCAGCGACGCCGCGUGGGGGAUGACGGCCUUCGGGUUGUAAACUCCUUUCGCUAGGGACGAAGCGCAAGUGACGGUACCUGGAGAAGAAGCACCGGCUAACUACGUG
rnacentral:rRNA from 1 species